rnacentral:rRNA from 1 species
UACGUAGGGUGCAAGCGUUAAUCGGAAUUACUGGGCGUAAAGGGUGUGUAGGCGGUUGCUUAAGUUUGGUGUGAAAUCUCCCGGCUCAACCGGGAGGGUGCGCCGAAUACUGAGUGACUAGAGUGUGGGAGAGGAUCGUGGAAUUCCAGGUGUAGUGGUGAAAUACGUAGAUAUCUGGAGGAACACCGGUGGCGAAGGCGGCGAUCUGGCCCAACAUUGACACUCAGACCCGAAAGUGCGGGGAUCAAACAGA